rnacentral:rRNA from 1 species
AAUCGGGGACAAUGGGCGCAAGCCUGAUCCAGCCAUGCCGCGUGAGUGAUGAAGGCCCUAGGGUCGUAAAGCUCUUUCGCCAGGGAUGAUAAUGACAGUACGUGGUAAAGAAACCCCGGCUAACUCCGUGCCAGCAGCCGCGGUAAUACGGAGGGGGUUAGCGUUGUUCGGAAUUACUGGGCGUAAAGCGUAGGUAGGCGGACCAGUAAGUUGGGGGUGAAAUCCCGGGGCUCAACCCCGGAACUGCCUCCAAAACUGCUGGUCUUGAGUUCGAGAGAGGUGAGUGGAAUUCCGAGUGUAGAGGUGAAAUUCGUAGAUAUUCGGAGGAACACCAGUGGCGAAGGCGGCUCACUGGCUCGAUACUGACGCUGAGGUACGAAAGUGUGGGGAGCAAACAGGAUUAGAUACCGUGGUAGUCCACACCGUA